rnacentral:rRNA from 1 species
AGCUUAUUGGGUUUAUAUUAAGUGAAUUCUGCUCAAUGAUCUAUUUAAAUAGCCGCAGUACCUUGACUGUGCUAAGGUAGCAUAAUAAAUUGUCUUAUAAUUGAGGUCUAGAAUGAAUGGGAUUAUGGGUAAUAUCUAUCUAAAUUUAAUAAAAUUUAAUUUUUUUAAAUAAGUGAAAAUACUUAUGUGGUUAUGAAAGACGAGAAGACCCUAGAAAUUUUAAUUAACUGUAAUAAUAAAUAAUUAUAAAUAUUUUUGUUGGGGCGACAGAAUUACAAAAUUAACUUACUUUAAAUUUUUGUUAAUCUAAAAAAACUUUUUAAUUAAAUAUAAAUUACUCUAGGGAUAACAGCAUAAUUUAUUUAUAAGUUUGUGACCUCGAUGUUGGAUUAAGAAAUAUAUUUACUAAAAGUAUAUAUUAUUGGUUCUGUUCGAACUUAAUUUCUUACAUG